ensembl:lncRNA
AUGUGUUUCACGAUCACGCUAUUCCAGUUUUUGGCCCACUUUUGUCUUUUUUUGUACUGUUCACGAUGUUUUUCUAUCCUACGGUACUCAAUCAUAGGACCGGGUGCUUUGCCACGAUUUGGUUGGCGGCCACUAAAGGACGAAAGAUCAGUCGAAGAGAUCUGCUCAAAGUCAAUGUCCAGCGCACUUGCUGUGACAUCAUGGAUUACGUGUUGGUCAGAGUCCCGCCCCCUGUAUCAGGAUUGCCCCGCCCACGUUUCUCCCUGUACCUGUCCUCUCAGCUGCAGUAUGGAGUGGUGCUUGUCUACCACAGACAGUGUGAAUUUUUGUUAGGUUGGUGUGCUCAAACUUGAGGGUAAAUGAUCAUUUGUGGGCUGGGACAAUUUUUUUAAGUCAAAAAUAUUCACUUGUAUACUUUUAUAAGGAUAUUAUUGAAAUGCCCCUAAUAUAUUCUUUAGGCUUGAUUUAGCAUGUAACAAAAGAAGCUUUUUGCAGUUUUGACUGCAUCUUUGCUCUUUUAAGAUGACAAAGUGGAUUACAGUGCAGUCUUAGAGCUGAUAAGGAUCAUGAAAUUUGUAGAAUUUAGAGAUUUUGAUGUGUCCACUGAUUGUGUUUCUGUAUUUUUUUAAUUAAUGUUGUUUUCUCAGAGGACACUCAGGGGGCAAUAGAUAGAUUGCUCCGCCUUAACUUGAAGUCCAACAUUGAUAUGGGGGAUGAAGAAACCAGGUCAGGCAUUUUAUAUCUUAGAUAUUUUUUAUUUUGAACGUUAUAUUAUAAUGCAGAUGAAUGGAAUCCUGUUUAUGUUUUCUUCUCUUCAUGACAAUAAUGUCUGAUAAAUGUUGUGAUCCUUUAAACAAUGAUCUCUACAUAUAGCACUUACAUUUUUAUUUUAUUCGUUUAUUUAGCACGGGGACCGUGCACAUUAUUAAACAUUACUGUAAAUAUUCCAUCUGCAGUCCCUGUACAGAAUGUUACAAAUACAAAUGACAAUUACAAAAAUAAUUCAAAUUGACAUUUCGUGCUAUUUUUAGAUUUGCAGAAGCAGCAUUGCCAAAACAGCAUUUGUAACCCAUUUUG